AGACCCGAAACCCGGUGAUCUAGCCAUGGGCAGGUUGAAGGUUGGGUAACACUAACUGGAGGACCGAACCGACUAAUGUUGAAAAAUUAGCGGAUGACCUGUGGCUGGGGGUGAAAGGCCAAUCAAACCGGGAGAUAGCUGGUUCUCCCCGAAAGCUAUUUAGGUAGCGCCUCGUGAAUUCAUCUCCGGGGGUAGAGCACUGUUUCGGCUAGGGGGCCAUCCCGGCUUACCAACCCGAUGCAAACUGCGAAUACCGGAGAAUGUUAUCACGGGAGACACACGGCGGGUGCUAACGUCCGUCGUGAAGAGGGAAACAACCCAGACCGCCAGCUAAGGUCCCAAAGUCAUGGUUAAGUGGGAAACGAUGUGGGAAGGCCCAGACAGCCAGGAUGUUGGCUUAGAAGCAGCCAUCAUUUAAAGAAAGCGUAAUAGCUCACUGGUCGAGUCGGCCUGCGCGGAAGAUGUAACGGGGCUAAACCAUGCACCGAAGCUGCGGCAGCGAACGUAUCACCCAAGACAACUUUACGGAGUUGACGAUUGACGGAGCGAAGCGACGUCAAAGCGUUCAUUAAAGUCGAGUUGGCUUAGGGAUACGUUCGUUGGGUAGGGGAGCGUUCUGUAAGCCUGUGAAGGUGUGUCGUGAGGCAUGCUGGAGGUAUCAGAAGUGCGAAUGCUGACAUAAGUAACGAUAAAGCGGGUGAAAAGCCCGCUCGCCGGAAGACCAAGGGUUCCUGUCCAACGUUAAUCGGGGCAGGGUGAGUCGACCCCUAAGGCGAGGCCGAAAGGCGUAGUCGAUGGGAAACGGGUUAAUAUUCCCGUACUUGGUGUUACUGCGAAGGGGGGACGGAGAAGGCUAUGUUGGCCGGGCGACGGUUGUCCCGGUUUAAGCGUGUAGGUGUGUGUUCCAGGUAAAUCCGGUUCACUUUAACACUGAGGCGUGAUGACGAGGCACUACGGUGCUGAAGCAACAAAUGCCCUGCUUCCAGGAAAAGCCUCUAAGCAUCAGGUAACACGAAAUCGUACCCCAAACCGACACAGGUGGUCAGGUAGAGAAUACCAAGGCGCUUGAGAGAACUCGGGUG
rnacentral:rRNA from 1 species